rnacentral:lncRNA from 1 species
CUGCUCACUCGCUGUUCCCACCACACGCUGCUCAGAACACAUGUCAAAAAUUGACUUGCAGCUUGAAUCACCACAAGCCAAUUCUCCCUCUCUCUCCCCUUUGUCGAUUGCAUCUCCCACAUCACUAAAAGGCGUCUUUAUUUGGCUGAAUAAGUAAACAAUCAGGUAUCUUUUGGGUUGCAAUUUUGGUUUUGGUAACAAUCAGCAAAAGAUCAAGUUGUUCGUAUGCAACAUAUCAUGUGUUAGGUUAAGUGUUAAUCUUAAAUGAUUGUUCAAGGAAUCCAUGAAAUGUACAAAUCUUUAUAUUAAUUGCUUCACUGGUACAAGAGCACUCUUCUUUUACUUCACUCAAAAUCAAUCUAAAUGCAAUUACUAAUCAAUUUGAACUCAUUUGCCAAUACAAAUCGAUUACAAAUGCAAACCUUGACCACAGAUGC